UGCUUAGCUUUAGAUUUGCGUUGUCAAAUCUGUUGGGAAAGUUUGAUUAUUGUGGCUUUGGGAGCUUUUGGAACUUAUUUGUGCUUGUUGGAGUGGAUUUGAAAGCUUGGAUUGUGGUUGGAAGCUUGUUGGUGCUCAUUUUGAGUUUGGGUGCAUAAAGGGAAUCGGCCAAGAUGCAGGUCGCAACCCAUCUCGGUGAGUUGCUUUGGUUGGUGACAGGAGCGGAGAAUCUUGGGUCAUUUUGAGUUCUUUUUGGUUUAUUUUGUUUAUACAUCUCUCCUUUUGUAUUUUGUUUUGCCUAGAGGCAUGUAUUUGAGAGAACAAAACUUGUAUAAGCUGUUUUCACUGUAUGGUUUUGUAUAUCAGUAUAUGGCUA